CUGAAACGGUUGGAGAAGAGGUGCGAGGCAGGUGAUCAUGAUCCUCUAACGGAGUUGGCGUGUUCCUUCAAGAAGUGCUUAAAGGUGGAGAAAGCAGAGUUAACAGAGGAAGUUACAAAACUUUUCAUUCGUUCGUUCGUUGGUUCAUUCAUUUUCAUUCGGCACCAAAAGAUAUCAAGAAUCAACGCAACUGCGAGGCUUAUGUUCUAAUUCUCUGCUUCCGUACAACUAAACAGGUUAACAUUUUAGAGUAGCUGAGUGAUCUGGUGUUGAUUGCUUCAGUUUUACUGACGGACAUGCGGAAUUGAAUACUUGAAUUCACUCUAAAAAUUACUUAUUACUUGUCCGGCAGAUAGAAUUCAAGAUCAGUUAGAACCCACACAUGGAGGUCCGUUACAGUAACAUGAGCUAUCCCUAUAGUACAGCAGGAAGCUUUAUUGAAUAUGUUGAAGGUCUUACAUACGAACAUGUUAACUUCAUUUUUUCUGGUGCCUCACAUGCUCAGGAGAGUUCAUACCCUUCAAGUUCAACUACAAGCUUUUACAAAUCUGGGCUGUUUGAACCAGACAGUACCUCGUACCAUCAGGAUAGUAAUGGUUACGAGGUGAAUUAUCAUGAACAAUUGAUGGAUGAGUAUAGAAGGCACUCGGAAAACUCUGCAACAAUCAAUGAACAGAUGGCAACAGUACGUAUAGAAAGGGAAGGAGUAAACAAUGUCACACUAGACAGUUCUACUGAAUGUCCGAGAAGGCAUCAUAAUGAUUUCAAUGACUAUGAGGUCAGUUGGGAAGACAAUAUUGAUCCUGACAACAUGACCUAUGAGGAACUACUUGAAUUAGGUGAGACAGUUGGAACUGAGUGUCGUGGUCUCACCCAAGAACAAAUUUCAUCGAUUCCAGUAUCGAAAUACAAGUGUGGCCGCUUUUUCUUCUUUAGGAAGAAGUCACGGGAGGAGAGAUGCGUGAUUUGUCAGAUGGAAUAUAGAAGAGGGGACAAGAGGAUGACUUUACCAUGCAAACAUGCCUAUCAUGCUAGCUGUGGGAACAAAUGGCUUAGCAUCAAUAAGGCAAGUUGUUUAGGAAUGAGAUCUCCGAGUGCGUAAUAGACUCCGAACUUCAGAAUCUAUCAAAGCAUUAGAGAGAUCACGAGGCAUAUAAGAACUAAUUUAGGCUUGCCCUAUGUGUUACAGAGACGUGAUUGUGGAUGUGUCAAAACACAAAUAAUCACCUUCGAGCGAAUAGAAAUACCCUACCUGUAUAUGAUUCGGUUUUUCCUUAUGCUUAGAUAUCUCCUUUUUUUUUAUCACCUAUUAAAUAAUGUAUUAUAUAGGUAUAAGCGUUACCCUUUCUCAUUUACAAAAAUGAAAAAUGAUCAAUCUUUCCUUA